rnacentral:rRNA from 1 species
UACAGAGGUGGCAAGCGUUGUUCGGAAUUACUGGGCGUAAAGGGCGCGUAGGCGGUCUUGUCAGUCCCUUGUGAAAUCCCCCGGCUCAACUGGGGAACUGCACGGGAAACAGCAUGGCUUGAGUUCGGGAGAGGGAAGCGGAAUUCCGGGUGUAGCGGUGAAAUGCGUAGAUAUCCGGAGGAACACCGGUGGCGAAGGCGGCUUCCUGGACCGAUACUGACGCUGAGGCGCGAAAGCUAGGGGAGCAAACGGG